ACAGAGGGGGCAAGCGUUGUUCGGAAUUACUGGGCGUAAAGGGCGCGUAGGCGGCCUGUUAAGUCGAACGUGAAAUCCCCAGGCUUAACCUGGGAACUGCGUCGGAUACUGGAUGGCUUGAAUUCGGGAGAGGGAUGCAGAAUUCCAGGUGUAGCGGUGAAAUGCGUAGAUAUCUGGAGGAAUACCGGUGGCGAAGGCGGCAUCCUGGACCGACAUUGACGCUGAUGAGCGAAAGCUAAGGGAGCAAACGGGA
rnacentral:rRNA from 1 species